rnacentral:rRNA from 1 species
GACGAACGCUGGCGGCGUGGAUUAGGCAUGCAAGUCGAACGGUAUCAUCCUUUCGGGGGUGAGAGAGUGGCGAACUGGUGAGUAACACGUAGGUUAUCUACCCUCAAGACGGGGACAACCCAGGGAAACUUGGGCUAAUACCGGAUGUGAGCAACUUUUAGUUGUUUGAAAGGUGGCGUAAGCUGUCGCUUGGGGAUGAGCCUGCGUCCUAUUAGUUAGUUGGUGAGGUAACGGCUCACCUAGGCAAUGAUAGGUAGGCGGCCUUAACGGGUGGUCGCCCACACUGGGAUUGAGAUACGGCCCAGACUCCUACGGGAGGCAGCAGUCGAGAAUAGUCUACAAUGGUCGGAAGACUGAUAGUGCGACGCCGCGUGAACGAUGAAUCCCUUCGGGGUGUAAAGUUCUUUUAUAUGUGAGCAGUGCUUUUCAUGUGAACAGCAUGGGGAAGAGAUAUUAGCAUAUGAAUAAGCAACGGCUAACUCCGUGCCAGCAGCCGAC